GGAUAACGAAUCAAUGGGAUUGCUAAUCCGUCGGUCGUGGGUUCGAGCCCCACCCGCCCCA
rnacentral:tRNA from 1 species